CGAGCGGCGAACGGGUGAGUAACACGUGGGUGAUCUGCCUCGCACUUCGGGAUAAGCCUGGGAAACUGGGUCUAAUACCGGAUAUGACCAGUUGCUGCAUGGUUUCUGGUGGAAAGAUUUAUCGGUGCGAGAUGGGCCCGCGGCCUAUCAGCUUGUUGGUGGGGUAAUGGCCUACCAAGGCGACGACGGGUAGCCGGCCUGAGAGGGCGACCGGCCACACUGGGACUGAGACACGGCCCAGACUCCUACGGGAGGCAGCAGUGGGGAAUAUUGCACAAUGGGCGAAAGCCUGAUGCAGCGACGCCGCGUGAGGGAUGACGGCCUUCGGGUUGUAAACCUCUUUCGACAGGGACGAAGCGCAAGUGACGGUACCUGUAGAAGAAGCACCGGCCAACUACGUGCCAGCAGCCGCGGUAAUACGUAGGGUGCGAGCGUUGUCCGGAAUUACUGGGCGUAAAGAGCUUGUAGGCGGUUUGUCGCGUCGUCUGUGAAAACUCACAGCUCAACUGUGAGCUUGCAGGCGAUACGGGCAGACUUGAGUACUGCAGGGGAGACUGGAAUUCCUGGUGUAGCGGUGAAAUGCGCAGAUAUCAGGAGGAACACCGGUGGCGAAGGCGGGUCUCUGGGCAGUAACUGACGCUGAGAAGCGAAAGCGUGGGUAGCGAACAGGAUUAGAUACCCUGGUAGUCCACGCCGUAAACGGUGGGCGCUAGGUGUGGGUUUCCUUCCACGGGAUCCGUGCCGUAGCUAACGCAUUAAGCGCCCCGCCUGGGGAGUACGGCCGCAAGGCUAAAACUCAAAGGAAUUGACGGGGGCCCGCACAAGCGGCGGAGCAUGUGGAUUAAUUCGAUGCAACGCGAAGAACCUUACCUGGGUUUGACAUACACCGGAAACCUGCAGAGAUGUAGGCCCCCUUGUGGUCGGUGUACAGGUGGUGCAUGGCUGUCGUCAGCUCGUGUCGUGAGAUGUUGGGUUAAGUCCCGCAACGAGCGCAACCCUUGUCCUGUGUUGCCAGCGGAUUAUGCCGGGGACUCGCAGGAGACUGCCGGGGUCAACUCGGAGGAAGGUGGGGACGACGUCAAGUCAUCAUGCCCCUUAUGUCCAGGGCUUCACACAUGCUACAAUGGCCGGUACAGAGGGCUGCGAUACCGUGAGGUGGAGCGAAUCCCUUAAAGCCGGUCUCAGUUCGGAUCGGGGUCUGCAACUCGACCCCGUGAAGUUGGAGUCGCUAGUAAUCGCAGAUC
rnacentral:rRNA from 1 species